UCACUUGAAUUGGAAAAGAAACAAAAAGAAAAGAAACGAGAAGAACAGAAAGAAGAAAAAGAUAUUGAAUAUCAGGGGUAACUUGAAUUGGAAAGGAAACAAAAAGAAAAGAAACAAGAAGAACAGAAAGAAGAAAGAGAAAUUGAAUAUCAGGGGUCACUUUAAUUGGAAAAGAAACAAAAAGAAAAGAAACAAGAAGAACAGAAAGAAGAAAUAGAAAUCGAAACUAUUAGACAAACAUUUGAGAACAAGGCAAUACCGAUAUUCGCAGGUCGGCCCAAAGUGUUUCUAAUCCAAGCCUGCCAAGGCGAAAUAGAUACGGAAGUAACAGCAAAUGUGCCGAGACAACUGAUUUCCAUUCCGAACGAUGCGGAUACGGUGAUUGCAUUUUCUACCUGAGUUUGUUGCUCAUCGGGAUCGGAGCGAAGGAAGUCCCUUUAUUAGAAUUUGUAUCGAGGUGUUUAAAGCAUAUUUUAAAGAUCAUCAUUUAGAAGAAAUGCUUAUCGCGGUUAGAGAACAAUUGAAGGCUAUACCAUUUACGGAUCCAGAUGAUGGUAAACAAUAUACACAGCUGGCAUGCGUUUGGAGCAGUUUAACCAAGGCUUUGUUUUUCCCAACACGUCAAACGAACUAAGGAAUUGGAGUUUUGUAAGAAACAAUCGGCUCUUAACGAUAUUCUGAUUAUAAUUUCCGAUAAAGAAUGUGUACACUUAACAUUUGACUAACUAUUUACAUUUAAGAACAUAUUCAGAGAUUGCGUAAGAUUUAUGUU